UCGCUGUCGGCUGGCCCUCUCCUGGCUGCGCAGCAGCAGCCAAGGGUGACGGAGUUCACGUAUUAAAAGGGCACCUUAGUUGGGUUCAGAACGGCGCGAGCCAGUUUGGUCUAUAUCUGCUAGAGGUGUUGCUGCCUGAGAGGAAGGAAGGAUAAGUACGAAAGGAACAUCCUUCCGUGGCCACUUGUUCACCAGCUGUCCGACAGGGCAAGCUGGGUAGCUACGCCAUACGCUGAUAAGGCCUGAAAGCAUCUAAGGCCUAAGCAGCUCUCAAAAAUAGGCAGUAGGCAACCGGCAAGACUACCGGUCAUGGAAGCGGGAUGUACGCACGAAGCUUCGGCGACGUGUUCAGUCCACGCUCUCCUACGCCAAUGCUAGCCUUUA
rnacentral:rRNA from 1 species